rnacentral:pre_miRNA from 1 species
UAUAAUGUUUUAACUCUUCAUCUUAUUUAAAAUUUUUUUACGAUUAAUAUUUUUAUUCUUACUAGAUGAUAAAACAUGAAUAGUACUUUAUGCUUGACUAAUUUUAAGUUUUCGUACAAAUAUUUUAAAUAAGACGAAUGGUGAAACGUUGGAUGCGAAAAAAC